GGGCAUGGAAGAAGUGCAAUUUAUUUAUAAUUUAUGAUAUGUGUAUAUGCUGGUGUAAAUAUAUAUAAGUGCUGACACUAUCAGUGGCAGAGGGUGAAUCCAAUUAUAGGGGGCAAAUUUUUAAAACAAGAACAAGUGAACUGUCGUAGAGAUACAGAGCACGCCGCGUGAUACAGUGCAGCGGAAGGCCAGACUGCCGGAGACAAAG
rnacentral:lncRNA from 1 species